rnacentral:rRNA from 1 species
CCUACGGGUGGCAGCAGUGAGGAAUAUUGGUCAAUGGGCGCUAGCCUGAACCAGCCAAGUAGCGUGAAGGAUGACUGCCCUAUGGGUUGUAAACUUCUUUUGUAAGGGAAUAAAGUGCGGCACGUGUGCCGUUUUGCGUGUACCUUAUGAAUAAGGAUCGGCUAACUCCGUGCCAGCAGCCGCGGUAAUACGGAGGAUGCGAGCGUUAUCCGGAUUUAUUGGGUUUAAAGGGAGCGUAGGCGGGUUGUUAAGUCAGUUGUGAAAGUUUGCGGCUCAACCGUAAAAUUGCAGUUGAUACUGGCAUCCUUGAGUACAGUAGAGGUAGGCGGAAUUCGUGGUGUAGCGGUGAAAUGCUUAGAUAUCACGCAGAACUCCGAUUGCGAAGGCAGCAUACUGGACUGCAACUGACGCUGAUGCUCGAAAGUGUGGGUAUCAAACAGGAUUAGAUACCCUAGUAGUC